GAUAACCCUCUUUCGAAGAUGUUAUGGGUUACCUAAUAUUCACCUAAAUCUCUCUUUCGAGGAUGACAAAGGGGUUCUAGAGCUUGGAGCUUUCACUCAUCAAACUCAUUUGGAGAUUUGGAGUUUUCACCCAACACAUAAGCUCAAGCAAUGGUGAAAUCCAUACUUAACAACUAAAAUUCAUGCAAACACAACAAUACCCACCCACAAUUACACUCUAGUUCAACAUAAUCCCAAGACCAAAUUAUUUAGCUACUCAUGAAGAAAGUAACGAGAGAUAUACCAAAUAGGUCAACCAAAGCAUUCAUUCGUCAAUAAGAAUCUAAGAAAUUUGAGCCUUAAAGGUUGAUUACACAUUUACCCAAAGGGUUUCAAGCUUAGAAUUCAAAACUCUAUUAUGAGAUAAGCAAUAUCCAAAGAAGAAAGGGUUUUUGCUUAUAUAUGAUUUGGGAUUCUCCAUGACAUUUUACAAUUUUGCCCUUGGGGCAGUUCCCGCUGAUCCGCGAUCGCACGUGUUUGAUGAUCGCGAUCGCGGCUACGCAACCAUGGUUAGAUUCCACGACCACGCUUUGUUGACCACCUGGAUUGACGGCGACCGCGAUCACGAUAACCGAGGCUGACUGCUUUAGGUUUCCAGCUGCACUCCUUUUGCUUCCAUUUGCUCCCUUUUUAGCUUCAUUCCACAUAUGCUCAUCUUAUCCACUUUAUACCUGCAAAGUGUGGGUGUUAGUGCACUUGAAUCCGGAUGGUGCCUCAUUCUCUAACACAAAAUAUGGUAGUGUGCCCAUAUAAUUUGUAUGAAUGAGUGGUAAAAUUAUCACUAAUCAAUGACGUUGAAGACAAUACAAUACCUUUAAAAUCAGUUACUCGUAAAGAAGCACUUAUCAAUCUAAAACUCUUCACAAGUUUUUAGUGCAGUUUGAGAAAAUACCAAAAUUUUUGGAUGCAAUAAGCAAAGUUAGAAAUGAACUUCAACUAGAUUUAAAAAUUUUAAACAAAAACACUAG
rnacentral:lncRNA from 1 species